AUUGAACGCUGGCGGCAGGCCUAACACAUGCAAGUCGAACGAGUGGCGGACGGGUGAGUAAUGUCUGGGAAACUGCCUGAUGGAGGGGGAUAACUACUGGAAACGGUAGCUAAUACCGCAUACCAUCGGAUGUGCCCAGAUGGGAUGAGCUAGUAGGUGGGGUAAGGGCUCACCUAGGCGACGAUCCCUAGCUGGUCUGAGAGGAUGACCAGGCACCCUUGAACUGAUACACGGUCCGGACUCCUGCGGGAGGCGGCGGUGGGGACUAUUGCACGAUGGGCGCAAGCCUGGUGCGGCCAUGCCGCGUGUAUGAAGAAGGCCUUCGGGUUGUAAAGUACUUUCAGCGGGGAGGCGUUACCCGAAGAAGAAGCACCGGCUAACUCCGUGCCAGCAGCCGCGGUAAUAC
rnacentral:rRNA from 1 species